AUGGCCGUCGGGCGCUGGGUGCUUCCUGGUGUGCCGUGGACAGAGCGUCGGAGGACUUUGUCAUUGGACGGGCGUCGCGCUCAAGACAUUGUUGCGCCUUCAAAUGCGUCAGAGAUCUCUCCGCUGUUGCGGACUCCUACUCCGCUGCUUCCAGCGUGGAGUGCGCGCGUUGCUAGGGUCGUCGUCACCACCACCAGAACAGGCGUCGCGAGCAUGUCGGUGCAGAUCCUAGAGCCGGACUUACAAUGUACGCCGCUGCCAGUGCAGGCUUUUGAGCCGGCCGCGCAAGCGCAGCACUUCGCGCCUCUGGUGCCCGCGGUGAUCAACUAA
rnacentral:rRNA from 1 species